UAUUGUCUGUGGUGUUGAAUAGCUUUUCAUCAUCAGCAAAGAGAACUGUUCUUUCCUCCUUUGUGCGUUUUAUUCUUUUGAAGAUACGGUAUUGUUCCUUGUUUCAUAUAUCUCUAGAAAAGAAUCUUGCCAGACUAAAAACAACUGCUUGCAUCAUUGCAGAUGUAUUCUGGGAAUAAUUAAGGAGGAGACUUUUUAACCCCUUUCCUGCCAAACCAAGCUCUUCGAGCUCCAUCCCAUCUUUGCUCUCUGGAAAGCAGCCCUUCUAGGAAUCCAGGCUACAUUCACCACAAUAUGCGUUCUAAAAUGGGAGCGACUUGCUUGGCUGCAGCUACUUCGACUCUCAAGAAGGUUGGGGGUUCGGAGUUGAAAGCGCCCUCUGGGUUGAGUGAUUCUUUGGGGAUUGUGACAACACAGCAGAAUUGCAUUCCCAAACUGUUACACAUCCGUCAGUCUACAUCGGAUUCGGGGAUUUUUAGCAAGAGAGGAACCAUUGACAAAGCUGUUCUGGAUUCUCUACUUGGUGCUGCAAUUGGCCUGGGGACGGCAGCGGUGGCUGUUCCGGCCGCAGUUGGCAUUCUGGGUUUCAGUGGCGCAGGAAUUGUGGUUGGCUCAAUUGGCGCCAAGAUGAUGUCUGCUGCUGCCAUUGCAAACGGAGGUGGAGUGGCUGCUGGGGGUUUGGUUGCCACCCUGCAGUCCAUUGGGGCUGCAGGGGUGCCGACUGCUGUGACAGCAGCAACAACAGCCAUAGGAGCAGCGCUGGGAGCCUUAAAGAACAUUUUCGGUUGAGGGGCCGGAGAACAUCCCCCUCCUCUUCUCCAUAGUAUUAGCUGACUGCUUGAAGAGGAAAUGGUUAGAUCUUCAUAGAGUCCUUGAAUGAUUAUAGUUUAGCCUGCUUUCUUGUGGACUUACUUGUUCCACUGUUUUUCUUGUUCUAAAAAUCCCUUAUAAUUUUUCUGUGCCUCAGUUUAUAUUAAAUGUAACGGCAUGUCCACCUUGGUGGGUUUCCAUUCCUCAAAUUCGCAAUCGCCUCUCUUCUCCGGCCCUGAAGAGGCGAACCCCAAGCGCCUCUUCUGAACCUCAAAGCAGUACAGGUGUGCAAGGCAAAAAGUAAAACUUUUCCCCGAUCUCAUGGGCCAGGUUUUCUCCCUUGUUGCUGCUGGACACAGGCAAAAUAAAACUCUUUUCUAAACUCUCCUAGUCCA
rnacentral:lncRNA from 1 species